rnacentral:rRNA from 1 species
AGCAGCCGCGGUAAUUCCAGCUCCAAUAGCGUAUAUUAAAGUUGUUGCAGUUAAAAAGCUCGUAGUUGAAUUUCGGGAUUUUAUCGUUGGUCAGGCUAUUGUUUGUACUGGCGUAUAGAAUUUCUACCUUCUGGGGAACUAUCAUGUUAUUAAUUUAGCGUGGUAGGAAACCAGGACCUUUACCUUGAAAAAAUUAGAGUGUUCAAAGCAGGCUUAUGUCUGAAUACAUUAGCAUGGAAUAAUAAAAUAGGACGGUGGUCCUGUUUUGUUGGUUUCUG